CAACCCUCAAGCCAUGCUUGGUGUUGGGACACUACGCCUCGCGCGUAGGCCCUUAAUAUUAGUGGCGGACCUCCUGUGAUCCCGAGCGUAGUAAUAUUUGCCGCUUUGGAGAGUCGGAGUGCACUAGCCGUUAAACCCCCCUUAUUUUUCUAAA
rnacentral:misc_RNA from 1 species